UAUGGGUGCUAUAAACAGUUUCGUAUAAAAAACUAGGGGUUAUUCCCCGACUAAAAAUAACCAUGGAGGGAAACCCCUGUUUAUGUACUCAAUUGGUGAAAAAGUAUCAUGUUUUUUGUAUUUGAUUGUAAAAAUUAGUUAAUUAGCUUUGAAUUAAAACAGGUUGAAUGAUUGAAAUAAUUUUAAAAAUUAUAUUAACUUUACAUGUUUUGAGGGGAGACAACACUGUAAACAUCCUGUUUUUUUGGCAGUGAAAAUUGAAAACUUAUUUGCAGCCACUGUAGCUCUUUUCGGAGCAGGAAACCGUACCCUGAAACAAGAUUUUUUUGAAAGGCCAGGUAAAAACCUACAAAUUUCAUACAGUUUUGAUUAUGUAAAAUGUGCAUGGAUCAUGUCUUCAUGGGUGUGCACAUGACCUGGUUUCAAGUUUUUUUAUGUUCAAGUUAGACCUUUUUUCCCCAUGUUCAUUGGAUGGAAAAUUUUUAAUAUAUUAAAAGUACACAUUAUUUUUAUUUCAUUAUAAACUAGAGAAUAUUCUGAUUCCAGUGAUAUCUAGUUUUAUACAAG
rnacentral:lncRNA from 1 species